GCACUCGCUGGGGCAGCACAGAUACUAAAAUUGGAAUGAUACGGAGAAGAUUAGCAUGGCCCAGGGCAAGGAUGACACACAAAUUAGUGAAGUUAAAAAAAAAAAA